CACUGAUACAGAGAAAAUUAGCAUGCCUCCUGCACAAGGAUGACAUGCAAAUUCAUGAAACGUUCCAUAUUUUU
ensembl:snRNA U6 U6 spliceosomal RNA